UGAAACCGUGUACGUACAAGCAGUGGGAGCCUCUUAAUGGGGUGACUGCGUACCUUUUGUAUAAUGGGUCAGCGACUUAUAUUCUGUAGCAAGGUUAACCGAAUAGGGGAGCCGAAGGGAAACCGAGUCUUAACUGGGCGUUAAGUUGCAGGGUAUAGACCCGAAACCCGGUGAUCUAGCCAUGGGCAGGUUGAAGGUUGGGUAACACUAACUGGAGGACCGAACCGACUAAUGUUGAAAAAUUAGCGGAUGACUUGUGGCUGGGGGUGAAAGGCCAAUCAAACCGGGAGAUAGCUGGUUCUCCCCGAAAGCUAUUUAGGUAGCGCCUCGUGAAUUCAUCUCCGGGGGUAGAGCACUGUUUCGGCAAGGGGGUCAUCCCGACUUACCAACCCGAUGCAAACUGCGAAUACCGGAGAAUGUUAUCACGGGAGACACACGGCGGGUGCUAACGUCCGUCGUGAAGAGGGAAACAACCCAGACCGCCAGCUAAGGUCCCAAAGUCAUGGUUAAGUGGGAAACGAUGUGGGAAGGCCCAGACAGCCAGGAUGUUGGCUUAGAAGCAGCCAUCAUUUAAAGAAAGCGUAAUAGCUCACUGGUCGAGUCGGCCUGCGCGGAAGAUGUAACGGGGCUAAACCAUGCACCGAAGCUGCGGCAGCGACACUAUGUGUUGUUGGGUAGGGGAGCGUUCUGUAAGCCUGUGAAGGUGGCCUGUGAGGGUUGCUGGAGGUAUCAGAAGUGCGAAUGCUGACAUAAGUAACGAUAAAGCGGGUGAAAAGCCCGCUCGCCGGAAGACCAAGGGUUCCUGUCCAACGUUAAUCGGGGCAGGGUGAGUCGACCCCUAAGGCGAGGCCGAAAGGCGUAGUCGAUGGGAAACAG
rnacentral:rRNA from 1 species